GUGAACGCUGGCGGCAGGCCUAACACAUGCAAGUCGAACGGCAGCACAAGAGAGCUUGCUCUCUGGGUGGCGAGUGGCGGACGGGUGAGGAAUGCAUCGGAAUCUGCCCAUUUGUGGGGGAUAACCUCGGGAAACCGGGACUAAUACCGCAUACGACCUACGGGUGAAAGCAGGGGAUCUUCGGACCUUGCGCAGAUGGAUGAGCCGAUGCCGGAUUAGCUAGUUGGAGGGGUAAAGGCCCACCAAGGCGACGAUCCGUAGCUGGUCUGAGAGGAUGAUCAGCCACACUGGGACUGAGACACGGCCCAGACUCCUAAGGGAGGCAGCAGUGGGGAAUAUUGGACAAUGGGCGCAAGCCUGAUCCAGCCAUGCCGCGUGUGUGAAGAAGGCCUUCGGGUUGUAAAGCACUUUUGUUGGGAAAGAAAAGCAGCCGGUUAAUACCCGGUUGUCAUGACGGUACCCAAAGAAUAAGCACCGGCUAACUUCGUG
rnacentral:rRNA from 1 species